CCGCCCGUCACACCAUGGGAGUUGGUAAUGCCCGAAGAUGGUUCAGCUAACUACGGAGGCAACUAUCUAAGGUAGGACUGAUGACUGGGGUGAAGUCGUAACAAGGUAUCCCUACGAGAACGUGGGGAUGGAUCACCUCCUUU
rnacentral:rRNA from 1 species